GGGGAUGUAGCUCAAUUGGGAGAGCGCCGCGUUCGCAAUGCGGAGGUUAGGGGUUCGAUCCCCCUCAUCUCCACCA
rnacentral:tRNA from 3 species